rnacentral:rRNA from 1 species
UACGUAGGGUGCGAGCGUUAGUCGGAAUUACUGGGCGUAAAGCGUGCGCAGGCGGUUCGUUGUGUCGGUGGUGAAAUCCCCGGGCUUAACCUGGGAAUGGCCAUGGAAACUGGCGAACUGGAGUGCGGCAGAGGGGGGUGGAAUUCCGCGUGUAGCAGUGAAAUGCGUAGAGAUGCGGAGGAACACCGAUGGCGAAGGCAGCCCCCUGGGCUAGCACUGACGCUCAGGCACGAAAGCGUGGGGAGCAAACAGG